GUACAGGAACGCCUGGCCACCUGAACUCCACUGCUGCACGCUCUGGUACGCCGGGAAGUUGAACAGGGCAUCACCUAGGAGAUUAAGAUCCCUUGAGGUCUCGGCCGACGUGACACCGGUGAGGAGAGGGACACGUUUCUGCUUCCUACCCAGUGACUCAGCUGGAGCUUCGGCUACGAGAGGCGGCAGACCUCGGAGGUCAUCCGCACCUUCUACUCUAGCACCAGCACCUGGAAAAAUUAUAACAAUGCUACAUAGAACAUAUCAUUUCGAUUUGUCCGUCUGUUUGUAUCAUACAAGACACGAAAUUAGAGAUAUGAGGUAUUUUUUC